rnacentral:lncRNA from 1 species
AAAAAUCGGCCACUAGUGAUAUUCAAGAAAGGGCUAGCCGAUUUUGGUGAGUGUAGAAUUCUCUCAAGUCAUUCUAAGUGUUUUGAUGAUUGUGAUUCCAUUUGAGGUGUCACACUUGGGGCACUAAGCACUCAAGCUUCAUGAAGACUUUCUACAUCAAGAGGUAUGUAUUCUAUCUUGUUACAUUAUUGUUUUGUAUGCUAGAUUAGGAUAAUACCUUGGAAGUUCUUAUUUGCAUGUAUAAUAGAGAAAACAUAGAUCCAAGGUAUUUAGGGUUGCAUGUACACUUAGGAGUGUUAGAAUGCACAAAACCCAACAGUGGUAUCAGAGCCUAGGCUUGUUUUCUUGUUAUACCUGCAAUAGAAGCUGAAAAAACGAAUCUGGUGCUGUCUGGCCAUCAGACUCGGCGAGUCCAUCAGGAGACUCGACGAGUCCAUGCCUAAAAAGUGAUGAAUUCGAUCCAACUCGCCGAGUUUGUUCAUGCACUCGACGAGUUGGACCCCCAGACAGCAUAUUUUCGAGUUUUUUGGCUAGAAAUGGACUAGGAACAUUACCCUAAGUUGUUUUUGAACUUAUAAACUUGUUUUUGAUGUGGUAAUGUUCAUGCUAAUCCAUUUUCAAAGAUAAUUGUCAAUAGAUUCAUGUUUUGUAUUAGUUUAAGGUUUAGACUAAUUACAUGAAAAAGUUUGAUUUGAAUUAUCUUGUUCUUAUGAGUUGCUUAGAUUAAUAGAAAUGUUGAGUGAAAUAGUUGUUUUCAAUCCAUUUUAAUCUAAGAGUUGAGUAUAAAAUGUGUUUGUGUAACUUGUCCUCAAGUUACAUGAAGAGUCACAUUAAAGACUCAUAAAACUCAUAAAAGUUGGCAAUGGUUACAAAAUGAAGAGUCUUGUGUCAUUGAAUAAUUUUUUUUGACUCCAUAACUUGUCCUCAAGUUAUGGAAGUUCAAGAGUCACUUCAUUAAAGAAAAAUAUGUAACCAUAAUUAAAUCCAUAAGUUAUAAAAUAAAGAAAAAGUUAGUUCUUUUAUUAGUUUAAAGUCUUCCAUAACUUGUCCUCAAGUUAUGGAACUUGAAGAGUUUUUGGAUUAAAACUACUUUAAACACAUAAGUUAUGGAAUUAAUUAGUUUUGAAUAGUUUCAAAACUUGCCCUCAAGUUUUGGAAUUUGAAAAGUUUUCAAGUAUGAAUACUUUAAUUCCAAGUUAGCCCUUAGAAUUUUAAAAGUUAAAAUUCAACCCUUAUACUUUAUAAUAUUAUAAGUUAAUAAUAUAUAUAUGUAUAAGAGUAAAGUCAGUCUUACCGCUAGUACGCCUCAUUCACGAAGCCGGUCUAUAAGGUGGGUAUAAGGUUGUUGCCUAUAAAAUGGCAACUUAAUGGGUGUCCACUCUCACCCACCGCUUGCUUGACUGGUGGAGGGUCGUUAGCCGAACGGGUUUGACAGGACUAGAAUUCUCCCUUCAUUAAAAGUAUUAAUGAUAAUACUAAGUAACUAAACUCUUAAUAAUACCCAAUCUUAGUUACUUAGGAAAAAUGUGAAUAAGGUGCUAAUCCAUGAAAUUACACUUUACACUUUGUCUAAGUCGUUAGUGGAGCGUGUGUGGUUAACCGGCACACUAACUUGGACUUAACAAGGUAGGUAAAGGGUGACUUAAUAUUUAUCAUAGUAUCGAUGGAGCGUGUGUGGUUAACCGGCACAUCGAUUGAGGGGUAAUUUAUUAAGGGUACCAAGUGAUUUGCAUGGUUACUUCACACCUUGUUUUGUGAUCCUCGGCAUCCCAGUCACAAAACCUGAAGGGCACACUCGAGAUUGAAACAUGCCUUUGAAAAGUUCAAUGAAUCUCAAAGAUCUAGGAGUUUCAAAACCAAUUAAAACCUAAUAAUACAUUUCGUUUAUCUUGGUGGAAAUUGGUGAAUCGUCAUUCACCUACCUUCAAAUAUUUUAUAGCUUGGAUUACGGCAUACCUCUUCUAAGUUAUAAAAUAGUUUGUUGGGUCCUAGCCUUAAUAUUUCAUAUUGGGUGUCAUAUUAAGGACUUUAAAUCAACUAUCUUGAAUAUCUCCCAAAAGAUGUCUGGUUUAGACACCUAUGAUCUUCCCAAAUCUCUUGAAACAAGGUUUCCUAAUGAAGAUGAUGUCCCAUGGAUAUCAUACUUCUUCACCUCUUCAAAUUAUUCUCCCUAACCCACAAGUUCUUGAAAAGUUUAAGGUCACUCAGGCCCUAUUGGCAAGGCAAGGUCUAGGUGUGGUCACAUCUUGGAGAUGUAGUCACAUAUUGACAAGCCGGGAGAGUUGGGUGUCAAAGUCUUGAGAAAGUUGGUGGUUCAACCACUUUCUAAGUCACAUAGUGAGUUCCUUUGGGACACCUAUGAAACAGACUAUGACAAGACCCUUAAUGAUCUUAUCUAUUUGCUAAGAUCAACUUCCUAAAACUUUAUGGACAUUGACAAUGAUGACAUUGGAUAUCCAGUAAAGCAUUCUCUUCCCAAUGGAAAGGGAUCGGCCAUAGUCAACUCGGUUGACCAAAUGGUAAAGAGAAAAGCUAAGUCUGUGAUAGUCCCGUGUACCAUUAUCAAAGGGUCCAUAUGUUUAUAUUGCCAAAGGAAGGGGCAUUGGUUGCGAAGCUGCCAAAUUUACCUAAGGAUGUUAAAGUCAAUAAGUUUGACUCUACUUCAGGUAAAGUCCACUAUCUAACUCUGUUAAGUUUCUAUUCUGAGAUUCUUGAUACAUGAUGUGACUGGGUCACAUGGUGAUGUUUUAAGAAUCAAAGAAAAGUGAAGAAACUUAAAGAAAGAAUAUGCUGAAUCUGAUGGCGUAGAUGGAUUUCUAUCGCAUAGUUUGAAGAUCGGAUUCUUGAGCUACUUCUUAGGAGUUAUGAGAUAUUGCUUAGGAAUAGAUAACAACAAGUUUUCAUAUGGAUUGUAAGGAUAAGUUUUUCCGCAAAGUUUUAAAAUAAAAGAAAAUUUUUUAUAUUUUAUUUAUUUUAAAAUAUCCUUACAAUGGCAUUUGAGGAAAAAUUGUUGCUUAUAUGAUUCCAUUAAGAGCAAGAGUGGAAAUAUGAAAUUGAUUCUUUCAUUUGUGGUAAUGUCUAAAUUUACCAAAUAAGGAAAGAUUCUCAUCACCCAAGUUUCAAUUGGACCGGAACUUGGAAUCAUGCAAGUUGUAUAGCAUGAUGAAUGAGAACUUUCAAGUUUUGGAAAAUUAAGACUAAUUACUUGUUCACAUGGAUGUGUGAGUCAAGUAAAGGACUUAGGGAUCGAGUACACAUUCUUGUGCACUGAUUAAGUCCACCACUAAAGAUCGAUAAGAAGAAUCAAAUAAGGCAGAAGGAUAAAAGUUUCUCAAAUCUGAAAAGAUGGGAGAGUACUUUAGUAUCAGUUUUGUGAUCAUCUUAAUGAUUAAGAAACCAUAUCAAAAUUAGUUCUCUAAGGAAAUCUUAGUGCAUUCUUAUGACUAAGAAGAGGAACUUGAAUUGUUGAAAUGGUUAAAUCAAGAAGAUGAGUCAUACUUCGUUCCAAUACAAGUCUUAGAGUCAUACUCCAAGAUUGUCAUUUGAGUGACAUGUCUUAAAGAAGGUUUAAAACACUUGUCAAAUGUAAGAGUAAAAGUUUUCUACUCUUGUACAUUUGAAAUUGGUAAGUUGUGAUGUUUUGGAUAAAACAAAGACCAACUUAGGCCAAUUGGGUAAAGUGUUUUUCUUGAUUAGAAUCCGCACUAUCUCUUGGAUGUUUGACAAGGGAGUCUUAUAUGUCAAGAGGACAGUGGGAGUCUUAAAGGUCUUGAAAGUCUCAAGAAAUAAUCAAGAAUAAAACCUAAAGUUCUUCACUAGCACACGACUUGAGGUUUAUAACCUAUCGUGUUGACAUAUCUGUGCCCAUUCCAGUUAAAGUUGGCUUUGCAUAUGAGUUCUUAGAGUUCUCAGUUUGUUGCAUAACAACUUGGAAGCAAUGGCAGGCCCUUGAGCUGCCAGGUGGCAAGAAGUUAAGAUUGAGUUCAAUCCAUAUGGUUUUGGAUUUGUCAUUAUCUUUGUCUUGUGAUUAUGGUUUGACAAAUUCAUAUGGGUAGGAACUCAUACACCAUAUAAAUCUAAGUGUCAUAAGGUUUCUCUCCGAUUCAUGAAAAUGAUGGUGAGGAAACGCUUUCACUAAGUAGAUUUUACGAAGAUAUCAAUUGUGUUAUUUGCAUUUUCAAAAGUCGUUAGUGGAGCGCGUGUGGUUAACCGGCACACUAACAUGGACUUGUGAGAAAUGGCAAAUGCCUAAGCAAUUGAGACCAUGAUUACGGUAUCCCUUUUCAUGGUUCUUGAAAUUGCUUAGACACACAGGUGAGCUAUCUACGGAAAGGGUGUAUGAAUCUAAAUUUCAGACUGUCCAGCUGAUUUCUGAGUACAUGUCAAAGCUAGUGGGAGCAUAAGUGUUAUGCUAAUAAUCAUCAUGUUAGUGGGAGCAUGAUAAUUAUGAUAAGUAUUGCAAGUUAGCAAUGUUAAUUAUAGAAAACAAAAGUUUCAAUUGGGAAAAAGUUGUUUUGCUAUAAUUAAGGGAGAGGAAAUUAUGCUUCAUCUCAAAUCUAUAAGCUUAGAUCGUGAGGUUUUAAUCAUUUAGUCAAGGAUAUAUAUGAAUUUCAUGUUGGAAUGGCUCAACAUAAGGAAAUUCUGUAUAUGGGUCCAUUAUUUGCGUUCUAAAAUUCGAUUAUGAUUACGGCAUCCCUUUUCAUAAUCUGAAUUAUGAGAACUUGGCAAAUUGAAAUGGAAAUAUUAUAGCAAAAGACUGGUUUAGUCUUUAUGUAAGACAUCAUGAAUCGUGUCCCAUAUGCUUCGGAUAUAGGAUCGAUUACAUGUGCUAUAUUCAUCCGUUCUAAAAUUUUCCAAAUGCCUGGGGCAUUAAGAAGGGAAAAGGUUUAGAACUGGAUAUGACUAAAAGGAUUAAACAAUUGUCGAGGACAAUCUAAGGUUUACCAAAGAUUGGUUACUCAAGGACAAUUGGAAGUAUAGUGAUAAUUCUGGAAGGACCAUAUUGACAUAAUCUGUAAGGAGGCAACUCUUGUUCAGAAGUGAUAGUCAAAAUGGAAUCUGGAAAUGUUUCAAAGUUAGAAUUUUCAAUCUGUGUAAGAUUAAGGAAACUUAAUGCAAGAAGGAUAUUUCCAAGGAGUUGAUCUCCUUUGGAAUACUCUGUAAUGAUUGUUGCCAAGUCUUUGUGACUUUGUGCAUAAUCAUUACAAGAGGAUCAAUGCAUAUAAGUUUAGAAUCUAACAGAUUUCAGUAAAUGGCAUGAAUUUGGAAUUCUUGCAUUUGCAGUAAGGAUUUGGGAGUGUGAAAAGAGAAUCAUUGAAGUUAUGUUCAAUUGAUCUAGUUCACAAAGUAAAGAUCAUAGACAAACAUAGUAUGCAUACUUGGUGUGUGGCAUGACUAGUGUUUAAGAAAACAUAGUGUACAUGCUUGGAGCAUGGGACAACUAUUGUUUUAAAUUCAAGAAUAAAGUUGAUAGCUGAAACAGUAUACAAUGAAUAAUGUGUAAUCAUAUGGUGAUAAAUAAAAGGUGUUUUAUUUAUGUUCAAAGGGUUGAUACCAUAUUGGAUUCAAUUAUUAUUGUGUUUCAUUUUGCAUGUUUUGACUUCCCGAAUAAACUGGGUUAUUCUUCCGGAAUGACUAAGUUAUUCAAACCAUCCACAGUCGGUCAUAUGUUGGAAGUAGAUAUGAAUUAAGACUGUCAUGGGUUGGCUUGUAGAGGUCUAAGGUGUUGGACAAAGGGCUACAACACUCAUGAGUGCUCAUAAGUUCUGAGUAUUGGAUUCAACCCGCGCUCAUUGGAAUCACUUCAUGGAUUUUAUCACGAGUGAUCAUGAGACGAUAAUAUCUUAUAUUCUUCAAACCUAGAGAUAUGAGUUGUUACUAUGAGUUGAUAGUACAUUGAUUGCACGAAAACGCAUUUGGUAACUCGGUGCUAUAAAACGUGCCUUUGUGUAUGAUUCAACAAGUAGUAGAACAAGCCAUAUGAGUCGAAGUUUAUCCAUUCCUUUUACCUUCGGGAUAAAAGCGAUAUCUGUGGGCCCCUCGAUGAUUUGAUGAUGACAAAUGGAAGUGCUCGGCCGGGCCAGGACUGAUUUGAUUUGUUCAAUUAGUCAGUCGUCAUAAAUCGGAAAUCGGGAAACAACAAAUGGACAGAGAGAAUGAUUAUAAUCCAUGUCUCAGUCCAUAUGAUAUCUAGAAUGGAGGAAUAUAUGAUCCCUUAUCUAAUGGACAAGUCAUUGACAAAGGUCAGAGUUCAUCUACAAGGUCAGAGUUCGACAGAAGCUUUUGAGAGCUACGAUUGCCAGUUGGUUCCUGAAGUCAUACGCAAUAAUAGUUUUAGACUUAUCCAAGUGGGAGACUGUUGGAUUAAUGUCUAAGUCCAUAACUAUAAUUGGUAAGACUUGACCCGACCCGGCAUGGUCCAUUUGGGUUGCAUACCAUCAUGCACUUGGAUAGACUAUAAUGAGAGAAAUAAGACACUUAUGGUUAUUAAUAUAUUAUAAGUUCUAGUAUAUUAAUAAUAAGAAUAAUAAGAUUAUUUAAUUAGUAUUGAUCAAGAAUUAAUAUAGGAUUAAUUAAGUGAUCAAAAGAAGACUAAUUAAAUAUAUGGGUUGAUUGUGUAAAUCAUCCAUACUUGUAUAGUGGGCUAAUGCUCCAUGGAUAAUCAAGUUGGGCUAAAACCCAUAGGAUGGUCCAUGGAUGCUCCAUGGUGUAUUUGUACCCAUGGAUCAUGGAAAUGAAAGGCCAUGUCAAUUAGGGUUUACAUGGUGUAACCCUAACUAUAUAAGCAUCUUAUUCUUGACCAAAAUCGGCCACUAGAGUGUGAAGUAAAAGGGCUAGCCGAUUUCAUGAGUUGUAGAAUUCUCUCAAGAUAUUCUAAGUGUUUUGAUGAUUGUGAUUCCAUUUGAGGUGUCACACUUGGGGCACUAGGCACUCUAGCUUCAUGAAGACUUUCUUCUCCAAAGAGGUAUGUAUUCUAUCUUGCUAUAGUCAUUGUUUUGUAUGCUAGAUUAGGAUAAUACCUUGGAAGUUCUUAUUUGCAUGUGUAAUAGAG